rfam:Heligmosomoides polygyrus genome assembly, scaffold: HPBE_scaffold0016954
GCGCCGGUGGUUUAAAGGCGUAGAGCAUUCCCGCCCUGUCAGAGGGAGGUGCGGGUUCGAGUCUCGCCUGGCGCU